UGUGUUAAUUACCUUGUUUGUAGGGGGAGGUUGGCUGCAUCACUGGUACUGAGGUAAUGGCUGUCCCCAAUACCAGACAUGCAGCCCACCUGCCCAUACAAAAGCCCAGCACACCACGUGAUGUC